CAAAACAGAAGAAAGUGCGAUUGGGCGAUAGGCAGAAUGGUCUGAAGAACACCUAUUAGGUUUCAGUAAGGGAAUUAUUUCUUGACGUUUCCACGUGGAGGGGAUGUUACCAGAUGUCACUAUGGAAUUUAUAAGAGAUAAAUAAUAAAAUAAAGCAUCAUCAUCUAAAUGAGAGAUAAAGGAAUACGGAAUACCAUCCAGCCCAGGAGCAGAAUCCUUAACAUGAGACAAUACACCUUUUAGUUCAGUGAGAGAAAAUAUACUGUUUAAACCAAAACAGUUAUCAUUAUUUAUAUUUAUUACAGGGUAAACAAUUAUUAAGUCUUCAGGAACGAAAGGUGGAGCCAAUUUAUCUAAAAAGCUAUUAACUAAAUGAAAAGGGAUUGAUUUUGGAGAUGAAUCUUUGUAUGCAGAUCUAAACCUUCUUAUAUUUUGCCAUACAAGAGAUGGUUUGACAUCAGCAUAUUUUCUUCUCUUUACUGCCUCAGUACAUUCGUUAUCCCACCAAGGAGGAGAAGGAAUAAAACCCAAAGAGCUAUUUUUACUUGGAAAUAUCUCAUUGGCAACCUCAAUAAAGAUUUUUGCUAAAGAAUCUGCACACUGAGAUUCUGUACCUGGAUUAAUUUUUGGAAGUGUUGGAAAUGAUAAUAAUAGUGGGAAGUGAUCACUACCAAAAGUACAUCGUAAUGGAUCCCAGGACAAAGAAGAAGCAAGAUUAGGUGUAGUGACUGUUAAAUCUGGAGCACUUGGGCCCUCGUCAGGAUGAGAACGUCGUGUAGGACGACCAUCAUUUAAUAUACACAAAUUCACUGAAUCAAAUAUAUCUAUUAAUGUGUUACCAUAACUAUUAGAAGAUAAGAAACCCCAGGAUUCAUGGCGACAGUUAAAAUCACCAAGGAUCAUAAAAGGCUUCGGAAGAAUGGAAAUAAUAUCUUUAAUUUCAUUUAAGAUUGCAGAAGAAGGAUGAGGUAUAUAAAUAGAUACAUAACAGAUAUUUUCAACUAAAGCAGCAAUAAUAGAAAAAUCAUUACUGUGAGAAGGAAUAGAGAAGAGAGAAAAGGAAAGAGGGUGUUUCACAAGCAUGGCUGCUCCGCCAUGCCCAUCCACACGAUCUUCUCUGAGACAUGAAUAACCACGAAUCUUAAAUAAAGAUCCUGGUUUUAACCAUGUCUCUUGAAGAGCACAGAUAUAAGGUUUAUAUUUAUUUAAUAAAUAAAUAAGAUCACUUUUUUUAGGAGUGAUGCUUUGACAAUUCCAUUGAAGAACUUUGUCCAUUAUUUGGUUUAUAAAUUUGAGUAAUUGCAGAAACUAAUAAGGCAGCGUUGGACGGUGAAAAUUCAUUCGAUUGACUAAGAGAUUUUAUAAGAGAAAUAAUUAAAUCAAUUACUGAGGAUUCCAAA